rnacentral:rRNA from 1 species
UCGACUAUGUUGAAUAAAAUUCUAGGUAGAAUUAUGAUAAUGACAUUGUCUGCCUAUGUGUCUUGACCAAAUUACGUGCCAGCAGUCGCGGUAAUACGUAGAAGACUAGUGUUAUUCAUGUUUAAUCGGUUUAAAGGGUACCUAGACGGUAGAUCAAGCUUUCUAAUAAAGGAAAAGGACUAAUUUACUAGAGUUACUUAUGAGGGGGUAUUAAAGUACUGCUGGUGUAGAGAUGAAAUUCUGUCAUACCUCUUUUCAAAAGAAAAACCAUGGCACAGGUAUAGGCGAAGGCAUCCCCUUAUGUGAUAACUGACGUUGAGGGACGAAGGCUUUGUGUAGCGAACAGGAUUAGAUACCCCAGUAGUCGAAGCAGAAAAUGAUGAAUGUCAUAGAUUAGAUAUAUAAGUUUAUUCUAUAAAUGAAAGUGUAAGCAUUCCACCUCAUGAGUAAUUUGGCAACAUUGGAACUGAAAUCAUUAGACCGUUUCUGAAACCAGUAGUGAAGUAUGUUGUUUAAUUUGAUGAUCCCAAAAAACCUUACCACAAUUUGAAUAUUUAUAUUAUUUAUUGUUUUAUUAUUAAUAUUCUUAUCUUUUUCAUCAUCAUUAAGAAGAAAAUGAAGAAUAUUAAUAAAAAGGCAAUAAGAUAUAUUUAC